ACUGCGACCUACAACUGGUUGCUUUUUAAAAAUUAAAAUAAGGUAUUCUAAACCUAUGGUCUGGAGUAUUUCCAAUUAGACAUAUAAUUUACAGAUGAAAUUUUUUUCCGAAUAUUCAAAUAGAUUGUAAGUAAUGAGCUCAUAUUCACGUGAACACACUAUAGAAUUAAGUAAAAUAUCUUCAAAUCUAAGCUACUUAUUAAUUCAAAACUCGUCUGCCAUUAAACCAUCAUCAUUGGUUGUUUUGUCACAGUUUAAUCGGUAAUCAAUUGGUAAUCGAAUAUGUAUUAGUGAUAUAAUAAUUUUUCUUUCUAUUUUUUUUAAUAUUCACUAAAAUAAUAUAUGAACUUACCCUCUAAAACGUUUAAGAAAUUGUUUACAUCUUAUAACUCUUAUUUGUUUCAACUAAAUUUUAACUUUAACUAACUUUUAAUCUCUUCCUUUGAGCUUUAGAUUUCUUUUUAUGAGCUAUAUUGUUUGAUGUUACAAAUAAAAUUCCAAAUGUCAGCAAAAACUUAGCAAAAUUUUAAAUGAUAUUUCCAAAUAUUUAAAUCCUUAACUUUAAAAACUUUGUUGAAACCCAUCAUCACCGAACCUUGCCGCAACUUUCUCUCCUUUGUCAUGUGCACAAAAGUAAUCGCGUGGAAGGUAGAUACGAAAGAGUGAAACGUGAGAAGAUGACACAUUCCUUUUUUUUUGUCAUCAGUUGUUUUUAUAUAAUAAAAUUUCUGAAGUUACGAUGUUGGAAUCACAGAGAUAUCCCCUAGUACAUCCAGGACACACACUACAGUCUACAGACAAGAGUUAAUCCUGAGCUUACAAAAAUCACAAAAGACCAGCUCAUACAUAACCAAUAACAAAACUCCUUUGCUUCAUCAGAAAAUGAUACAUUCCUAAAAUCGUUAAUUUCUAGCCACUUCUCGAUUUGUAUGUGUGUCGUCUUUGGGCCAAUAUUUCAUACGGUUUUCCUAAAUAUAUAUUCCCUCUGUUUAUGUUAUAAGUAGUUUUCGACAAAAAAAAGUUAUAAGUAGUUUUCAUAAUUUAAUGUAAUUUUUAAAAAUUAUUGGAUAUUGUGUAUCUAAUUAAAUAAUUUUUAUUUUUAUAACUGAUUGAAUUUAUUGAUUGAAUACUACUUUAAAAAGUAUUAAUUUUUUAAUAUUAGUGUUUUUAGGUUAAAUUGGUUACGUUAUGAAACAGAGGGAGAGGGAGUAAGUUUCAGAUAGUUUCGACUAAUAUUUCUGAUUACAUUCUUUAUCAAAUAAUAUGGGAUUGGUGACUCUAUUUCAGCGAAAAAAAAACAAUGGACAUUGUCACGUGGCGAAAGAGGCAAAAAGAAAAGUAUAAUAGUUGUCACAGUAAGAUAUCGAUUUUGAUCGUCACAUGCAUUCUGUGAAUGUAUUUAUUACAUUAAUGACACUGUUCAUAUAAUAUACAAUCACGCCAUUCAGAUUAGUAAAAUGAACCAUUAAUCUCCACGACUAAACCCCCCAAAUAAAAGAUACCUUGUUCAUAUAAUAUUUUUGUCCAUUCACUAUGACGCAUUCCUUCCAAUUGUAUAAUAGAGGUGCUAAAUCUAAGUUCGACCCUUCUAAAGAUGACAAAAAUUUGAUGAGUUUAUAAGAAUUUUCGUUUUAUCAAAGUUGGACCUCGGGGGGAUACUUAAUUUUUAUUUUGUUGGUUAUAGAUGAACUUUAUAAGAGAUUUUUUAUGUAUCGUUUGAGAAGAGAUUUUCUAUGUAUAUUUUGAGAAGAGUUCAAAUUGUUCGUAGUCUCUUUUUUUUUUCUUUUGGGAGCAAAUUCGUAGUCUUCUUACAAGAGAAUUAGAUCAUUAGAAUGAUGAGCUUAUGUAGAAUUAUGUUUUCUCUAAAAUAUAGAAAGAAUAAAAUAUUUGAUGAUAUGAUUUUCCCUUUAGAUAACUCCUUAUUAUACAUGUGUAGGUUGACGGUCUUUUCUUUUUUUUUUCUUAUAAAUCUUUUAUUUUGUUUUCUAGUUUGCAUUUAACUUAUUCAUUUUCGAAAAAUACAGACUUUUAGCUAAUUAAUCUAAAUAAAUAACUAACUUACUUUGAUCAAAAUUGUUACAUAUUGUAGAGACUAUUGUAAUAAUGUCACACUAUAAUUGGCUUACUUUUAUUUUAUUAUUUAAAGUUUUACAUAUAUAAUUAAAUAAUAAUAAAUAUAAUCAUAAGAGACUAAUGAUGCUCUAAACCAGAACGUAAAUAUGGUUUUGUGCUUGAAGUGUUAAACGGCUUGAAGAGAGAGGAAGGCUCCCCACGCACGCCGCCUCCACCGUCCGGCCGGCUCGGCUCGGCGUGGGCGUAAGCGUGGGCUUGGGCUUAGAUCUUGGGUUUUGAGUUUUGGUGGAGGGUCCUAAUCCCAAAUUGAUUCCUCACCUCUCUACUCCCUCUCUCUCUCCCCUCAUCAGACCCUAAGUUGAGUCUCCCCAAACCUGAAAUCUAGUCUCAUAUAAAAGAUUAUCCAUAUAUGAGAAGGAAAAAGAUGCAUGUCCUUCGUCUGAAGGCUAGAGAACCCGAACCUCCACAUGUGGUUGAAAGCAAUGAAAUGGAGGGUCACAAAGAGGAGCAUGAACUUGUAACCGGUGAUGACUGUGAAGCUGUUGUUGAUGAUUCUGAUAAUGAGUUGGUAGAAGAAAUUGAAGAAUAUGAUGUUGAAAAUGAAGAAGUUGGCAGCGUUGGGAUUGAAGAAGAAAUUUGUAAAGUGUUAUCUACACACUUUGGAGAUAUCGCAAGAAACGAUGAAAGAAACGAUGAUGAGAGCCAAGAUAAUGACUGUUGGAAGGAGAAUAUAUUUUAUCCUCUAUCAUCUGUUGAUGCGGAAGAGGAUGCGCAAAGGGAAGCUCAUGAGGAUGAAGCAUCAAGCGAUAAAAAUCUGGCAUUAGGGAUGCAUUUUCUUCUUCUGGUGAGUUCAAACAAGCUCUUAUGGUAUUCAUUGAAAAAAAUAUACAGCAUUGAGCUAUACAUUUCAACACACCUGAAGCGUGGAGCUGUACUGCUCAGAUAUUGAGUAUGAUCAUCCUUGGAGAAUGUACUCUUAGUAUGAGAAGAGGAAGCAUAAGCUGCGAUAAGGGCUAUAUGUCAAUGAACAUGCUUACGUAAGGUCUGAUUACUUGGAAAUGUUGAAGAUUUCAUCAACUGCGCAACUAAUUGUUGAAAAUUUAAGGUUGAAUCCAAAGCUUACAACUAAGGAAAUUGGUGAAAAGAUCAAACAAACCUAUAACUUGACAGUAACUGAAGACCAAAAUAUCGAAAAGUGAAGACCAAAAUUACUAGGGAAAGACGAGCAAGCCAUGAAACUUAGGUAAAUAAUAUUGUUAUGAUUCUUAAAUUAGUCAUGUGUUCUUUUGUUUUAAUUGUACUAACAAAAUAAGGGAGAAAAAAAAACAUGAAAUAUCCUUAAUAAGAUUUG